UACAGAGUUCAUGCCCGAGAGGGUAGACCUCCCACCCGUGUGUAUCGUUACUUUGUUGCUUUGGCGCGCCGCCCCCGGGCCUCGCGCGCGCGCCAGAGGCUCACCAAACCCUUGUUAUCAACGUCGUCUGAGCACUAUGUAAUAGUUAAAACUUUCAACAACGGAUCUCUUGGUUCUGGCAUCGAUGAAGAACGCAGCGAAAUGCGAUAAGUAAUGUGAAUUGCAGAAUUCAGUGAAUCAUCGAAUCUUUGAACGCACAUUGCGCCCCCUGGUAUUCCGGGGGGCAUGCCUGUUCGAGCGUCAUUUCAACCCUCAAGCGCAGCUUGGUAUUGAGCCCAUGUCAGCGAUGGCAGGCUCCAAAGGCAGUGGCGGCGCCGCUGGGCCCUGAACGUAGUAAUAUCUCUCGUUACAGGCGCUCGACGUGCUCCCGCCAAAACCCCAACUCUCUAUGGUUGACCUCGGAUCAGGUAGGGAUACCCGCUGAACUUAAGCAUAUCAAUAAGCGGAGGAAAAGAAACCAACAGGGAUUACCUCAGUAACGGCGAGUGAAGCGGUAAAAGCUCAAAUUUGAAAUCUGGCCCUCUCAGGGUCCGAGUUGUAAUUUGUAGAAGAUGCUUCGGGUGUGGUUCUGGUCUAAGUUCCUUGGAACAGGACGUCAUAGAGGGUGAGAAUCCCGUAUGUGACUGGAUGCCUACGCCCAUGUGAAGCUCUUUCGACGAGUCGAGUUGUUUGGGAAUGCAGCUCAAAAUGGGUGGUAUAUUUCAUCUAAAGCUAAAUAUUGGCCAGAGACCGAUAGCGCACAAGUAGAGUGAUCGAAAGAUGAAAAGCACUUUGGAAAGAGAGUUAAACAGUACGUGAAAUUGUUGAAAGGGAAGCGCUUGCAAUCAGACUUGCGCGCGGGGUUCAGCGGGGCUUCUGCCCCGUGCACUUCCCCGCGCGCAGGCCAGCAUCGGUUUGGGUGGUUAGAUAAAGGCCUGGAGA
rnacentral:rRNA from 1 species